CCCUGGAGCCCUGCACCACACCUGGACUCCUGGUCUGAGCUGCUCAGCUAGAAAUCCCCGUGCCCGCUCUAAACCCUGGCCAGCCUGCCUUGUUCCUAGAAGGAUGGUGGCGAGGAUGGUUCCCUGCUGAAGAGGAUAAGUAACGAGAGAGAGCCCCCCUCCUAACAGGAUGGUGAAGAUGGUAUCAAUCAUCCAAGGAGUGAAAGUGCAGCUCAACCAGGCUGGUAAAAAGUUCUAAAAGCUUAGAAACAGAAACCAAUUGAGAAUUAAAAGCCAAGUCAUUGAAAUGAAGAUCCACGUGAGAAGUUUGUCAUGCCCUCCUACACCUCUGAUAAGUGGAAACAGAUCCUGUGUGGAAAGCAUGCCUUCGGAGGCUUCAGCGAAACGAGCGGGAAGACACAGAUCCCAGAUUUCAGACUGGCCCACCUGCAGGUUUCUCAUGGAGAUGCUUAAUGCUGAGAGUGACCAGGUUUCCCAGGAAGCCACGGAGAAACUGCAAGCUGCCAGUGGCUGUUCUCACUGCUGUGCUUGGCCGUGUUAUCCUUUGGGCAAGAAAUACAAUCAAGAUUAGUUGCCCAGGUACGAAGACCACAUUCCAGCUCCUAUUCACCUGCUGGUGAGUUCCUCUAUAUUGUGGGUCAGGUGACAUUUUAGGGGACAGUGGUCCUCUGGAGGUGUGGGAAGGAUGAACUGUUUUCUGAGUGAUUUUGCAGCAAUGAAAUUUCAUCCAACAGAGAUAUGAGGAAAACAAAUGUCCUAGUAACUGCCUAGUAGGGAAAACGUCCCAAACUAUUUUUAUUUAGGGAAAUAGUCUGUAUUUGUGUGAAAAAAUGUUUCAUGGAAGAUCCGCGACUAGAGGAAACGAUGCAUCUGGGCCUGGAAAGUAAUAUUGCUGCUUCACGAUUUUGUUGUGGGCUCCCAGGCCUUGUGUGGCUGUUGCCAUCUUUGUCUCCAGGCCAAGGGCCUGUUUGUCAGGUCCAGGACAUCCCAGGGGGCUAUUGGUCUGUAGGCAGGUGCUCUUACCCACUUCUGUCCCUUGCUAUCCGCAUGGACACAUGGCAUCAUCUACAAGGGAGAGGUGUUGAUUUUAUUAACUAGCUCUGUUUCACAGGACAGAGUUCAUACAGUCUGUCAUCAUGUUCACUACUGCCUUCUUUCCAAUCUCUAGGUAGAAGGAGAUAACCAAUGUUCAAAUCAUCCUACUUACAUAACAAAGCACAUGAAUUGUUUUCUGUAACAGUGGUCUUACUUUGAUAGCCAACUGAGUCUGUUAGAGACCUGACUGGAGGUUGCAGGGACAUGAGGAUGAAGCAUUGAUAGCUGGUGAAGCCACUCCUCAUAGAUUUGAGUCAUCUCAUAGAAUUGCAGAAUUGAAGACCAUUUGAAGGCCACCUUGUCCAGUCUGAGGUUGCCCGAAAAGAGAGUGACCUGACAAGGGAGAGUUGGCAGUCACAUACUAAUAGUAGCACCGUCCUUUGAUGACAUCAUUCUCUGGGGUGACAGAUGUCUCAUCCAAAAAUGACUGAAAAGUGCAAUCAUUUUAUGAAACUAGAAAGAAGGUUGAAUGUGUUUAUUCAGGUCUAACAUAAUUUUAAAACCGUCUCUAAUGCAAAAAAUAGACACUUUUAUAUUUUCACUCAUUCCUUUACGCUGCUGUAAAUCUUCCCAUGUAUGACCACCUCCUAGUGGACUGGCCACACCAAUUCAGUGAUGCUGUACUGUGUAUUGCAGAGCAAUAUCUCUCAAAGUGGAUAAUAAAGAACACUGUUUUAUAAAAAGAUUCUGUGGAAAGAAGGUGGACAUUUGGGUUACGCGAA